GACCGCGUAGCUCAGUUGGUAGAGCAUUGGACUAGUAUCCAAAGGUUGUAGGUUCGAUUCCCACCGUGGCCA
rnacentral:tRNA from 1 species